rnacentral:pre_miRNA from 1 species
AGUAAGUGCAGUUUUGCACUAUUCAUCUCCAAUGUUUGACCGUUCGUUUUAUUUGAAGAAUUUUUAUGAUUACUGCUUUUAUUGUUAUUAGAUGAUAAAACAUGAAUAGUACUUUAUGUGUGACUAAUUUUUUAAAAAAUUUUCAUAAAUUUUUCAAAUAAAACGGACGGUCAAGCGUUGGACACGGAUUUUCAUGACUGCACUUAUU